UACGAACUGUGCAAACGUUAUUCGGAAUCACUGGGCUUACAGGGUGCGUAGGCGGCUUGUUAAGUAGGGUGUGAAAGCCCCCGGCUCAACCGGGGAAUUGCGCCUGAUACUGGCGGGCUAGAGGUCGAUAGGGGUGAGCGGAACUCCAGGUGGAGCGGUGAAAUGCGUAGAUAUCUGGAGGAACACCGGUGGCGAAAGCGGCUCACUGGAUCGAAACUGACGCUGAGGUGCGAAAGCUAGGGUAGCAAACGGG
rnacentral:rRNA from 1 species